UCAGGAUGAACGCUGGCGGCGUGCUAACACAUGCAAGUCGAGCGAUCUUCUUCGGAAGAGAGCGGCGGACGGGUGAGUAACGCGUGGGUAACCUGCCUCAUACACAUGGAUAACAUACCGAAAGGUAUGCUAAUACAAGAUGAUAUAAGAGAUUCGCAUGGAUUUCUUAUCAAAGCUCCGGCGGUAUGAGAUGGACCCGCGUCUGAUUAGCUAGUUGGUAAGGUAAUGGCUUACCAAGGCGACGAUCAGUAGCCGACCUGAGAGGGUGAUCGGCCACAUUGGAACUGAGACACGGUCCAAACUCCUACGGGAGGCAGCAGUGGGGAAUAUUGCACAAUGGGCGAAAGCCUGAUGCAGCAACGCCGCGUGAGCGAUGAAGGCCUUCGGGUCGUAAAGCUCUGUCCUCAAGGAAGAUAAUGACGGUACUUGAGGAGGAAGCCCCGGCUAACUACGUGCCAGCAGCCGCGGUAAUACGUAGGGGGCUAGCGUUAUCCGGAUUUACUGGGCGUAAAGGGUGCGUAGGUGGUUUCUUAAGUCAGGAGUGAAAGGCUACGGCUCAACCGUAGUAAGCUCUUGAAACUGGGAAACUUGAGUGCAGGAGAGGAAAGUGGAAUUCCUAGUGUAGCGGUGAAAUGCGUAGAUAUUAGGAGGAACACCAGUAGCGAAGGCGGCUUUCUGGACUGUAACUGACACUGAGGCACGAAAGCGUGGGGAGCAAACUAGGAUUAGAUACCCUGGUAGUCCACGCCGUAAACGAUGAGUACUAGGUGUCGGGGGUUACCCCCCUCGGUGCCGCA
rnacentral:rRNA from 1 species